ACAGAAGGAAAUGCAUCGUGUGUUAAUCAGGCAGAACAAGGAAUAGGAAAAUAGGAGCCUGGAUGCAAACAUUUCACAAAUCUCAGUGAUGUGAGCGUUUUUAGCUUGACUCAAUGAGAUUCUUUACCCAGAGCCACAUGAGGGCAGCACAGCAGCUUAUCAGCUUUUUGGGAGCACAUUUCAGGGGAGAAGAUGUUGUCUCUGAGCUGUCCAUGGUUGUUUUCAGUGGCUGUGAACAGAUGCU